rnacentral:rRNA from 1 species
GAUUAACGCUGGCGGCGUGCCUAACACAUGCAAGUCGAACGAGGUAGCAAUACCUAGUGGCAGACGGGUGAGUAACGCGUGGUCAACCUACCGUUGAGUGGGGGAUAACUAGCCGAAAGGUUAGCUAAUACCGCAUACGUCUCCGAGGGGCAUCCCUUGGCGAUAAAAGGAGCAAUCCGCUCGAUGACGGGACCGCGUCCCAUUAGCUAGAUGGUGGGUAACGCUACCAUGGCACCGAUGGGUAGCUGGUUUGAGAGAGCGACCAGCCACACUGGGACUGAGAAACGGCCCAGACUCCUACGGGAGGCAGCAGUGAGGAAUUUUCCGCAAUGGGCGCAAGCCUGACGGAGCGACGCCGCGUGU